rnacentral:rRNA from 1 species
CCUGGUGGCGAGUGGCGGACGGGUGAGUAACGCGUAGGAAUCUACCCAGUAGCGGGGGAUAGCCCGGGGAAACUCGGAUUAAUACCGCAUACGCCCUACGGGGGAAAGGGGGGGAUCUUAGGACCUCUCGCUAUCAGAUGAGCCCAUGUCAGAUUAGCUUGUUGGUGAGGUAAAGGCUCACCAAGGCGACGAUCUGUAACUGGUCUGAGAGGAUGAUCAGUCACACUGGAACUGAGACACGGUCCAGACUCC